UAGCUCAGUGGUUAGAGCGUCUGUCUUGUAAAACCCGAAGGUCCCCGGUUCGAUUCCGGG
rnacentral:tRNA from 1 species